GCCAGGUAUGGUGGUGCAUGCCUAUAGUCCCAGCUACUUGGGAGGCUGAGGUAGGAGGAUGGUUUGAGCCCAGGAGGCGGAGGUUGUAGUGAGCUGAGAUGGAGCCACUGCACUCCAGCCUGGGCAACACAGCCAGACCCUGUCUCAA
ensembl:misc_RNA Metazoa_SRP Metazoan signal recognition particle RNA